rnacentral:rRNA from 1 species
UACAGAGGUCUCAAGCGUUGUUCGGAUUCAUUGGGCGUAAAGGGUGCGUAGGCGGCGCGGUAAGUCGGGGUGUGAAAUCUCGGAGCUUAACUCCGAAACUGCAUUCGAUACUGCCGUGCUUGAGGACUGGAGAGGAGACUGGAAUUUACGGUGUAGCGGUGAAAUGCGUAGAUAUCGUAAGGAAGACCAGUGGCGAAGGCGGGUCUCUGGACAGUUCCUGACGCUGAGGCGCGAAAGCUAGGGGAGCAAACAGG